GUCAAGGCUGGGAGUCUACAGGUGGCUGCCAUGGGUGACCUAAUUUCAGUUGUCUGUUUCAUUCCCUCGAGCUAAAGAUGUAGCCAGCAUCCAAAAACGAGCCGAGCUCAGCCGGAAUCCUUUUCAUAACGUCCCUCCCCAUGCCUGGAUACUGAAGUGUGCUCUCUACAUUUUCCUCCGCAGUUUCAAAGAUUCUGGCCUUUGGUCCAUUUUGAACUGACUCUUCGACAGGGCAGAGCAACAGAACAGCAACUAAGACACUGGAUAAGAACUACAAGACAAAAGUCUAAAGAGUCAACGUGUCAAGUUUACCAAACAUCUACAUACUUAACGAGCUGCAUGAACUUUAGGUUAUUACUUCAGGACUAACUUUACUAAAGUGGAAUCAUAUUUGAUUCCUUCAGCAUCACUGCAGUGGUAAGAACUGCAGUGUAAUUCUACAAUGCAGGCAACAGACAAAAGACCGAGCUUAUAUCCUAGGUAUGAACUGACUCAGAGCCUGACUCAUGAAGCAUCCUGUUGACAUGAUUAGGAGAACAUCUCACAGACACAUCGCGCCAUAAGAUGACAGAGUCACAGGAUCUGGGAUGCGGUGUACUCCAGGAAUGCUGGGAUGCUGGUCGUUACCUAUAGAGGAGGAUGUCUCCGCCACAGGAACACAACUUGGGCUACUCUGUCUUCUGAGGACCUGAGGUGCUCUCGCCUCCAGAUCAGGGCAACGUUUGAUGGUUGAUGAUUUUUCUUCAUCUGGGAGGCUGUCUUCAGGAUACAGCUAAAAGAAGAACAACAAUGUGUGCACCUGGACAGUGGAUGACGAGAAGCAGGAGGAGAAGAGACAGCCCCGACAAGACUUUAGCAGAGGGACAGGGUCAGUCUCACAUCACCAUGCCCAGGAUAUGAUGGAAAGUUCUGUGUUUCAAGGACUGAAAAGAACGGCAUAUUGCUAACAAACAAACAAACAAACACCCAAAAAGGACUCAGCAACAAAUGUCAUUUCUAUACGUUCUUUGGAAGAUCACAUCUCACUACAAGCUGAGGUCUGGAAGAAGGCACCUCUGGAAUUCUAGGCCUGCGUGUGUGGGGGGAGGAGGAGGACCUCAGAACUGCGAGGAGAACAGGAGUAGGAAAGCCUUCGAAGGCUAUAAUUAAGUGAGCAUGUAUACAGAGUUUACAUUGUUAAUUUUUGUGGCUUCACCCAUUUUAACUAAAUUGAGGUGUAAAUUAGAAAAUAAACCCUCAAUUGGGUGUAGUGGUUCAUACCAGUAACCCUAGCGCUUGGGAGGCUGAGAAAGGAUACCCGAGAACUCGGAGUUAGCCUGAUCAACAUAUUGAUCCAGGCCAAGCUGUAUCCUAUGAUACCUUGUCUAUAAAGUCAACAUUAAAUGAAUCACUGAAAUAAAGAGAAUACACGUUAAAAAUCU